rnacentral:rRNA from 1 species
UACGAAGGUGGCAAGCGUUGUUCGGAUUUACUGGGCGUACAGGGAGCGUAGGCGGUUGGAUAAGCCCUCCGUGAAAUCUCCAGGCUUAACCUGGAAAGUGCAGAGGGGACUGCUCAGCUAGAGGAUGGGAGAGGAGCGCGGAAUUCCCGGUGUAGCGGUGAAAUGCGUAGAGAUCGGGAGGAAGGCCGGUGGCGAAGGCGGCGCUCUGGAACAUUUCUGACGCUGAGGCUCGAAAGCGUGGGGAGCAAACAGG